rnacentral:rRNA from 1 species
AGAGAGAGACAUGCGCGCAUAUCAAUAAGCGGAGGAAAAGAAACUAACAAGGAUUCCCCUAGUAACGGCGAGUGAAGCGGGAAGAGCUCAAAUUUGAAAUCUUAAAGGGUUUCCCUUUACGAAUUGUAGUUUAAAGAAGUGUUUUCUGUUGAGGUUUUGGUAAAAGUUCUUUGGAAUAGGACAUCAUAGAGGGUGAGAAUCCCGUAUUUGACCUUUACUUUCAACUUUGUGAUACACUUUCAAAGAGUCGGAUUGUUUGGGAAUGCAGUCCAAAAUGGGUGGUAAAUUUCAUCUAAAGCUAAAUAUUGGCGAGAGACCGAUAGCGAACAAGUACCGUGAGGGAAAGAUGAAAAGAACUUUGAAAAGAGAGUUAAACAGUACGUGAAAUUGUCAAAAGGGAAGCGUUUGACACCAGUGUUGUUUUUCUGAAAAUCAAUUAAAGAACUGUUUAUGCUAAGCUGUUUAGACUUUAUCAGCUAUCUGUUUAGUUUUGAGCUUUUCUUUAAUGCACUUUUCAGUUAACAAGUCAACAUCAAUUUCUUUUGCUGUAAAAAAGCUUGAGGAAGGUGGCUUGAGAUUCGUCUUAAGUGUUUAGUAGCCUCUUGCCUAUGCAGUCGGAGAGAUUGAGGUCUGCAGCGUAGAUCCUUCGGGGCUAAAUGCAUUCGUGCUAAGUUAUAGCAUUUUAUAGACAACUUGUUGACUAUGAUUUGUCUUGUAGCUUACUCGCUUAUGUUAUUUUACCUACGCUUAGGAUGUUGACGCAUGAGAUAUACGC